AACGAACGCUGGCGGCAGGCUUAACACAUGCAAGUCGAGCGCCCCGCAAGGGGAGCGGCAGACGGGUGAGUAACGCGUGGGAAUCUACCCAUCCCUACGGAAUAACGCAUGGAAACGUGUGCUAAUACCGUAUACGUCCUUCGGGAGAAAGAUUUAUCGGAGAUGGAUGAGCCCGCGUUGGAUUAGCUAGUUGGUGGGGUAAAGGCCUACCGAGGCGACGAUCCAUAGCUGGUCUGAGAGGAUGAUCAGCCACACUGGGACUGAGACACGGCCCAGACUCCUACGGGAGGCAGCAGUGGGGAAUAUUGGACAAUGGGCGCAAGCCUGAUCCAGCCAUGCCGCGUGAGUGAUGAAGGCCCUAGGGUUGUAAAGCUCUUUCACCGGUGAAGAUAAUGACGGUAACCGGAGAAGAAGCCCCGGCUAACUUCGUGCCAGCAGCCGCCGUAAGAC
rnacentral:rRNA from 1 species